GCAUGUGAGGGCCAUUUGGCUGUGACGUCUGUCACCCCACUAGUCGCCAGAGUUGAUUGGGCUGAUGUGGCUGGCUAGGCGGGUGUCCCCUUCCUCCCUCACCGUCCCAUGUAUGUCCCUCCGGAAGCUGCUCGCUCUGUUGAAGAGGACGGCCUUCCCUGAAUAGAGACGGACCGGUCUUCAGUCAAGGAUGUACGAGUAGCUGCGCUCCCCUGCUAGGACCUCCAAACAAGCUCUCAAGGUCCAUAAAACGCCAGAUUAAUAUCUGUCUGAAACGUUUCCUUUUCAUGGGGCUGGGGGACAAUCAGUUCAGCCCUUGUCUCGGCACAGCCCACCUGA
ensembl:misc_RNA 7SK 7SK RNA